rnacentral:tRNA from 1 species
GGGUGAUUAGCUCAGCUGGCAGAGCACCUCCCUUACAAGGAGGGGGUCGGCGGUUCGAUCCCGUCAUCACCCACCA